rnacentral:lncRNA from 1 species
GACAUCAAACAACCAAUCCACUCCAGAUUUAGGCAGUGCGUUUCCCACACCAGGCACUUUUAAUAAGAAGGGCAAGUCCAGACAAAUGGACAAGGAUUUCCACAGUAGAAACCGACUGAGUCACACUUCAUCACCUUUGUACUUUGCCAAGUCCAAACGACCUGCACCUACAGACCUUGACGGAGUGGGAGCUACUAAUCGUCUCCCUGGGGGUCAGCCGGUCCCACGUAGACAACGCAGCCUACACACAAAGGGAGGAAGGUCAGCUCCCUUUCUGACUAGUCUACGUAUUCUGGAGACGAACCAAGAGAUCACUGCAAAAAACUGCGCCACAUCUAAGAGCUGCAGCUACACAGUAUCACUCCAUGGAAAAAGAAAUUCCUCCAUCUCACAAAUCACUUUACACAUGACGUGA